rnacentral:rRNA from 1 species
AGAAUGAACGCUAGCGGCGUGCUUAACACAUGCAAGUCGUACGAGAACUCUUUAGCUUGCUAAAGACAGUAAAGUGGCGCACGGGUGAGUAACGCGUGGGUAACCUACCUCUGAAUUUGGGAUAACUCCGCGAAAGCGGGGCUAAUACAGGAUAAUAUUUCAGAAUCUUCGGGUUUUGAAAUCAAAAGUGGCCUCUACAUGUAAGCUACUGUUUGGAGAUGAGCCUGCGUACCAUUAGCUUGUUGGUAGGGUAAUGGCCUACCAAAGCUACGAUGGUUAGCUGGUCUGAGAGGAUGAUCAGCCACACUGGAACUGACACACGGUCCAGACUCCUACGGGAGGCAGCAGUGGGGAAUUUUGCGCAAUGGGGGAAACCCUGACGCAGCAACGCCGCGUGAGUGAUGAAGGCUUUCGAGUCGUAAAGCUCUGUCAAGUGGGAAGAACAUGAAAAAUGUUAAUAUCAUUUUUUACUGACGGUACCACUAAAGGAAGCACCGGCUAACUCCGUGCCAGCAGCCGCGGUAAUACGGGGGGUGCAAGCGUUAUUCGGAAUUAUUGGGCGUAAAGGGCGCGUAGGCGGUCUUUUAAGUCAGAUGUGAAAGCCCGGGGCUUAACCCCGGAAGUGCAUUUGAAACUGAAGGACUUGAGUAUGGGAGAGGGAAGUGGAAUUCCUGGUGUAGAGGUGAAAUUCGUAGAUAUCAGGAGGAACACCGGUGGCGAAGGCGACUUCCUGGACCAAUACUGACGCUGAGGCGCGAAGGCGUGGGGAGCAAACAGGAUUAGAUACCCUGGUAGUCCACGCAGUAAACGAUGAACACUAGGUGUAGCGGGUAUUGACCCCUGCUGUGCCGCAGUUAACGCAUUAAGUGUUCCGCCUGGGGAGUACGACCGCAAGGUUAAAACUCAAAGGAAUUGACGGGGGCCCGCACAAGCGGUGGA